rnacentral:rRNA from 1 species
CAGCCGCCACGGGAAUACGAAGGGGGCUAGCGUUGUUCGGAUUUACUGGGCGUAAAGCGCACGUAGGCGGAUCGAUCAGUCAGGGGUGAAAUCCCAGAGCUCAACUCUGGAACUGCCUUUGAUACUGUCGAUCUGGAGUAUGGAAGAGGUGAGUGGAAUUCCGAGUGUAGAGGUGAAAUUCGUAGAUAUUCGGAGGAACACCAGUGGCGAAGGCGGCUCACUGGUCCAUUACUGACGCUGAGGUGCGAAAGCGUGGGGAGCAAACAGGAUUAGAUACCCCCGUAGUCCCUGUCUCUUAUAA